AGGUGUGUCCUUUCUUUGGAGUUCCUGCCAGCUCACACCUGCUCAAAGCUGAGGACAGGAUGUUAUUCUGAGUUGCUUCGAGUGCCUGAGAAGUCUCCACCAAACCACCAAUUCCUUCAGCUGAUACUGAAGAAUUAAUUGAAGAAUUAAUUGAGGAAUUAAUUGAAGAAUUAACUCCUGCACCCUGCAAAGCAAAAUUCAGGGUGGAGGGAUCUGCCCAGGGUUGGAUUUCUGCCUGCCAGACAAAGACCUGACAGCAUUUGUGGUGAAAUAAUCUGCUCUGUUUGCAGACUGGAGGAGAAAUCCUUUCUGUACAGCUGAGUUCCUUCCAGCCUGGUGACCCCCCAAGCCACGUGCCCACCUCCAGAAAGGGCAGAAGCUUGUUUUGGCGUUGUGCUGGAUUUCCCUGGACCAUGGAG